GACGAACGCUGGCGGCGUGCUUAACACAUGCUAGUCGAACGGAAAGGCCCUGCUUUUGUGGGGUGCUCGAGUGGCUAACGGGUGAGUAACACUUGAGUAACCUGCCCUUGACUUUGUGAUAACUUCAGUAAACUGGUGCUAAUACCGGAUAGUAGCUCCUGCUGCAUGGUGGGGGUUGGAAAGUUUCGGCUGUUGGGGAUGGACUCGCGGCUUAUCAGCUUGUUGGUGGGGUAGUGGCUUACCAAGGCUUUGACGGGUAGCCGGCCUGAGAGGGUGACCGGCCACAUUGGGACUGAGAUACGGCCCAGACUCCUACGGGAGGCAGCAGUGGGGAAUAUUGCACAAUGGGCGGAAGCCUGAUGCAGCAACGCCGCGUGCGGGAUGACGGCCUUCGGGUUGUAAACCGCUUUCGCCUGUGACGAAGCGUGAGUGACGGUAAUGGGUAAAGAAGCACCGGCUAACUACGUG
rnacentral:rRNA from 1 species